CCUGCCCAGCAGAAAAGACCCGCGAAC
rnacentral:rRNA from 1 species